CUAACUCCAAAAACACAAGAGUCAAAGGCACAGAUGCCUGUUCUUCAAUCAUUUGAGACAGAGGAGCCACUCUCACAGGCUGUUCGCAGACACAGGAUCCAAGUGCAGGUGUGCUCAGACCACCGAGAUGUCCUGAACCCCCAGCCACAGCUCCC